AAUGGGCGCAAGCCUGAACCAGCGACGCCGCGUGAGUGAUGAAGGCCUUCGGGUUGUAAAGCUCUGUGGGGAGGAAAGAAAAAACCAAGUCGAAUAGGCUUGGGAAUUGACGGUACCUCCUUAGCAAGCACCGGCUAACUCUGUGCCAGCAGCCGCGGUAAGACAGAGGGUGCAAACGUUGCUCGGAAUUACUGGGCGUAAAGCGCGUGUAGGCGGAUAGGCAAGUCCGGCGUGAACGCCCUAGGCUCAACCUAGGAAUUGCACUGGAAACUGCCUGUCCGGAGUACUGGAGAGGAAAGCGGAAUUCCUGGUGUAGAGGUGAAAUUCGUAGAUAUCAGGAGGAACACCGGUGGCGAAGGCGGCUUUCUGGACAGUUACUGACGCUGAGACGCGAAAGCGUGGGGAGCAAA
rnacentral:rRNA from 1 species